rnacentral:tRNA from 1 species
UGGACAAGUAGCUCAGUUGGUAGAGCAACGGACUCUUAAUCCGUGGGUCCAGGGUUCGAGCCCCUGCUUGUCCAUC